CUGGAGGACCGAACCGACUAAUGUUGAAAAAUUAGCGGAUGACUUGUGGCUGGGGGUGAAAGGCCAAUCAAACCGGGAGAUAGCUGGUUCUCCCCGAAAGCUAUUUAGGUAGCGCCUCGUGAAUUCAUCUCCGGGGGUAGAGCACUGUUUCGGCAAGGGGGUCAUCCCGACUUACCAACCCGAUGCAAACUGCGAAUACCGGAGAAUGUUAUCACGGGAGACACACGGCGGGUGCUAACGUCCGUCGUGAAGAGGGAAACAACCCAGACCGCCAGCUAAGGUCCCAAAGUCAUGGUUAAGUGGGAAACGAUGUGGGAAGGCCCAGACAGCCAGGAUGUUGGCUUAGAAGCAGCCAUCAUUUAAAGAAAGCGUAAUAGCUCACUGGUCGAGUCGGCCUGCGCG
rnacentral:rRNA from 1 species